rnacentral:rRNA from 1 species
UAACGAUGCGGGACUCUUCCGAGGCCUCGCAAUCGGAAUGAGUUAACUUUAAAUCCUUUCGACGAGGAUCGAUUGGAGGGCAAGUCUGGUGCCAGCAGCCGCGGUAAUUCCAGCUCCAAUAGCGUAUAUUAAAGUUGCUGCGGUUAAAAAGCUCGUAGUUUAACCUCACGAUUCGAAAGGAGGUGAGCGCCGUGGUAGUAGUAGUAGUACUACUACUACUACUAACAACCUCUUCUUCUCCUUCUUAUUCUUUUCGUUGCAGAAGAAGAAGUGCAAGUAGGUGGAUGUCUAAAGCUCAAACAUGAUGAUGAUGACAGUACGAGUUGAUUUAAUGAUGGUGGUAACGGAGGUGGUCGAUGCUGCUGCUGCUUCUGCUGCUCCUACUAUGGUAGUAGUAGUAGUGCGCUAGUGGCAAACGACCGUAGCCGCUGCCGCUUUUACUACUUCGUUCAUCGUCGAUUCCCUCUUCGUUGCUUGGGCUCCACCUCUUCCUUCUCUCCAACGGACGGACGGAGAAGAAGAACGAGAAAAUAAAGUGCCACGGCGUAAAUAAAUCACCAGUCCUUUUCGAUGAAAAACAUUGUCCGGCCGGCCAGCGGCGUAGUAGUAGUAGUAGUAGCAACAGCAUCACCUGAAUUGGUGGUAGAUGGUUAUUAUAAUUAAUAAUGCCUCUUCCACUAUAGAUGGUGCUGCUGCUGCUGGCUAUGCUGCUCGCGCGCUCGCGUUCGGUCGGCAACUUCACUUUGACAAAAUUAGAGUGCUCAGAGCGGGCAAGAUCUGAAGCCCGAAUGGAGGUGCAUAGAAUGAUCUAAGAUGACCUCGCGAUCUAAACGUUUGUCGGUUUAUGGGGUCGCGAGG